CAUAGCCCGGCAGCACCUUGGCCUCACUGCACUUUGCAUCUCCUGCCCUUUCUGCCCCAGACAUUCAGGCACCUGUGGAAUCCUGGAAGAUCCAGGAAGUCCACACCACAAGGGCAACUUUUGGCCAGUGCUGAUUUGGAACAGAUGCUCAGAAGACACAUCAAGGAAACUCAAACACACCUAGGUACAGGAAGCAAAGAGGGCUUAUAACAAAAUGCCAACAUUUCCUCAGUCUCUGCUCGUGCUCACCCCACCAGAAAUCAAAGGAAGCUUGCGAAGUCUCUCAGAGCGUGUGAGCUACACCGGCACAGCUCAGAAGAGUUCUGUGAAUUUGUUGAACCCCGGCAGGACCGAAAACCUGGUGUUCUCUGCA